rfam:Cavia porcellus supercont2_12 genomic scaffold, whole genome shotgun sequence.
GGGGAUUUAGCUCAGUGGCAUAAGCGCCUGCCUUGCAAGCAGGCAGUCGUGAGUUCGAUCCUCAGUAUCGAUA